CCCUCAUAAGGGCAAACCUAUUGAAAGAUAGGGACGCAAAGCUACGGGUCUAAAGUGAUGAUUGCGAUGACGGCCGGGCUGCCGAU
rnacentral:ncRNA from 1 species